rnacentral:rRNA from 1 species
UACUUUGUGGCGACCGGCGCACGGGUGCGUAACGCGUAUGCAACCUACCUUUAACAGGGGCAUAACACUGAGAAAUUGGUACUAAUUCCCCAUAACAUUCGAGAAGGCAUCUUCUUGGGUUAAAAACUCCGGUGGUUAAAGAUGGGCAUGCGUUGUAUUAGCUAGUUGGUGAGGUAACGGCUCACCAAGGCAACGAUACAUAGGGGGACUGAGAGGUUAACCCCCCACAUUGGUACUGAGACACGGACCAA